GUUCGGAGGCCGCGGCGGCGGGGGGAGGCCGGGCAGGGAGGGGGAGACCUGUUUUCUCAACGCGAUCCCUGCUGCGGAGCCAUCUCGUGUCUUCCCUGAGACCCCAGGAAUGUGAGGACAUUCCUUCUCCAGGCAGUACAUCCUCCCUUGUGAUGCCAUCAUAAAAAUGAAUGAGAAGUAGCUGCUGAGUGAGUGGCUACCUUAUUAUUGGAUGGAAUUUGAGGCGUGAAUGAAAAGCCACCUGAGAGAAGUGUACUGGGGCUGAAGAACUCACCUAGCUGAUAUGCAAAGAAUACACCAGGCUUAGGAGAGCAAUUAUUGCCAACUUGCUCCUCAGGAGAAAUCAAAGGGGUGUCUCAGCAUGCAGUAUUAAUGAGACUCUAACAUCUUCUCUUGUGUUGGUGGAGUGGAAUAGGGUUUGGAAAUACACUUUAAGCUAAAUCAGCUUCUUAAUAGAAACCAGAAUUAGACUUGGUGAAUCUUUACACUGACUCAGUAAUUGCUUAAGCCUGCUAGGGAAAAAGGGGUUUGCUUUAUUAAAGGCUGAGCCCUGCUUAGUUUGAGCGUCUCCAUUGGCACCCAGUGUAUCCACAGGAGUAUAGAUAAAGGGAUUACACUCUCAAAUAAGGCAAAUUUUAGGGAAAAAAAUAAAUCCCUGGAAUGACAGAAAAAAAAUGCAUGGGGUGAAAAUUUGUUAUCACAGCAAGGGAAGAGAGGGAAUGGGCUAGAGAGAAGGGGGAGAGUAGGAUGGGUGGGAGACAGCAGAGUGGGCUGGCGUGAUUCUGAUGGUGGGGUAAGGAAUCGUAUAGGAUUUUCUUUGUCAUUAGGCUUUCAUUCACAAAAUGGAUUUUUAAUGGAUCAUAUCCUGUUGGCAUACAAACAGACUGCCUGAGAUCCCUCUGCUCUGGCUGAUGAUGCCAUGCUCUUGAGCUGCAAAGGAGGAUUUUGGUUUGAGAAGGGGGUUGGAUGGGGUGUGGGCAUUAAACUGCUUGGGGUUCUGCUCACCAGAACCACAAAGAGCACUUCUGCUGACAAGGAGAAGGGGGAGAAAUAGCAGGGUAGGAGGAUACAACAAUAAAUCCUCUCCGAGGUGUGUGGCUAUGGAAGAAUCUGCUCCAGCAGAAAAAAGCUGGCAGUUACAGUAGUCAGGGAGCAGCUGGAGAGAGCAACCGACAGUGCAAGUGGGAGCACAUGGGAAACAAUGGGAGAUGAAGCAUGAAGAGGAAGAAUUAAAACCAAGUGGAAAGCAAAGCAGCCAAUGCUGCUGAUCUGUCAGUUUAGAGUCGUUAUUUUGGAUCUGCCCUUCUCUUUGGCUAUUGUACUCAUUUAUUUAUCCCUAGCCAGAAUCAAAUCAUUCAGCCUUACUUAUUUGUGUAAUCUGCCUUUGCUGUUGGUGUUCCUGAAUAAGCCAUGCACAGGGAUGAGGCAGGAGCGGGGGCUGGGAUGAACAGCUUCUGUUUUCCUGUAAAAUACCUAUUUAAUGUCCUGCAGCCAAAAACUAAACUCAGUGUUAGGCAAAACCUGAUUGAGGAAGAAAAUGGUAAAGGACAAUAUCUUACUCAUCAGGUUAAACUUAACAAUGUAAAGAGAAAUUAUAACUACUUGACAUUGGUCUGCAAUUCUGCAGGCUCAUGCACCUCUUCACAACUGUGCCAAGUGAAAUGGAGAAAGGAUGAAGGGUUAGCACAGGGGUACCCGAGUGCCACAGAAACUGUGUGCAGGCUUCCACUGACUUAUUGCCCAUCACUUCCCCUAAUGGCUGGGAAUAGGAUUAUUAGAUUAAGCUACAAGUGGUUUAAUACCCCUGGAUGCAAACUGCAGUCAGCUAAUAAAGUGGUUUUAACAUGUAAAUAAUUAGAGGUAAAUAUAGUGCUGAUUUUUUAUAGGUAAUAAGAAUUCUGCAAGUCAUGCUGUCAUUAGAAGUCCCUCACAAAGCGGUGACUGCAGUCGGUAGCUGUAUGAGUGAAGUGAUUAGUAUCUUGCCUGUGCUCCUUAUUCGACAGGACCAAAAAUACACCCUUAAAAAUACA